GUUUUAAUAAUUUAAUAAAAAAUAUUGGUCUUGUAAACCAAAAAUAGUUUAUACUUUAAAACU
rnacentral:tRNA from 1 species